GCCCGUGUGGAUCAAUCGGACCGAGCACUGGACUCACAAUCCUGAGGUCGCUGGUUCGAAUCCCACGGCGGGCG
rfam:Culex pipiens quinquefasciatus supercont3.187 genomic scaffold, whole genome shotgun sequence.